AAGGAUUGAAGCUCUGAAGUACUGAAGCUAUACAGAAUUGAAGAUUCAAACUUUUCAAACUUCUAUAAAGCUCUCAUGACGUGCAAGUUCUUAUCAACUUUCAACUUCGAGAUCAUCAUCUUCUGAAAGAUUGAAGACUUGGAAGAUCAAACUUUCCUUGAAUUCCAGAAGACUGAAGCUCAAAUAGACUUGCAACUACAACAUCCUAAAGAUCGAAGAUCAAGAAAUUCUAAGUUUUUAACUUGUAUUUGAGAGAAAACAUCAAGGAGUAAAUACUAAAGAUUGUAUUCACAAUAUUCAUCAAUAUACAAAUUUCAAUUCCACAAAAUACAUUUCUUCAAAAUCUCGUGUGAACACCAUUCUUACUAAGAAAUGAACCAGAAACUAAGUUCUUGCAAAUAUCAAGAACAUGAAGCACACUAUUGAAAGUGAGUUCCUUGCAGAGGUUAUCUUAAGAAUCACUUUGCCUUGUCCCUCAACCUUUGAAGUAGAUGAGUUACCUGAAUCUUUUUUUUUUUUUUAAAGGAACUCUCACACACAAACUAAUGCAGAGAUUUUUUAAAAAAAGAAUAUUCAAGUUAAUAUGGUUAGUGUGAUAUUUGAAUGAAAAGAAAUAUUGAAAACACUCAGUUUAAUAUGUUUAUUGUGAUAUUUGAAUAAAGAAAGAAAAUCUAAACAAGUUUAUAUGCUGUUGUGAUUUUGAAUGAGAAAAAACAAAGAAAAACUAUAUAAAUAUAUAUAUAACAAACGAAUGCAGAACAAACAAAAAAAAAUCAGAAAAACCCAAGCGGAAGGAAGAAAAUAUUAAACACAAAUUAAUGGAUCAAAGAUUUUCUCACCAGUGAAUUAAAUAAAUUAUAUUUACACAAGAAUUCACAUAUCUUAGUAUAAAAUCUACCUAUUCAAAACUAAGUGAGCAUGAAUAAUAGAUAAAUAAAUAAGACACACAAAAAACUUUGAUAUGCCUAAGAAGAAAAGAAAAAUCAAAAUAAAACAAAAAAUUGAUUUUCAACCGCCCACAACAAAGAAAACUACAUAACAACUUAUUCAAAAAUUGAAAAAAUUUAAAUUUCCACCACUUUUACAGAUUAUAUACUAUCUAUAUAUUUAUAUUUUAAAGAAGAAAAAUGAAAACACAGACUAUAAAUUUGUUUUAAGAUUAUUAUAAGGGAUAGUUGCAAAUUUAACAAUUAAAUUCAAAAUAACUAAGUAUAUAGUAACAUUUUAAAAAAAUUGCAAAUAUAGCAAAAUUUGUAAAAUUCUAUCAAUGAUAGAGUCUAUCACUGAUAGACCGAUAGAUCAUAUGAGUCUAUCAGCGAUAGUUUUGCUAUAUUUGCAAAAAAAAUUUAAAUGUUGUUAUAUCCUUAAUUAUUAUUCCUCAAAUGGCCAUUCAUUACAAUUACCCUUGUUAUAAUUAUCAAUUGUUAUAAAGAUUAUUAUCACAACAAACAUAAAAUCAUACAUAAAUAUAGAUCUAAGCCUAACAAAUUUACGUUGUCUCUUUAAAAUAAAUUUACUCAACUAGUGCUCGAGUAUUUAGAGUAGUUACCUCUCAAGAUAAAACAUAUCAUCUUUCUUCUAAGUGUAGCGCUCCGUAUAGAAGAUCAACGAACGAAUC
rnacentral:lncRNA from 1 species